rnacentral:rRNA from 1 species
AGUAACGCGUGGGUAACCGUGCCUUAUACAGGGGGAGUAACAGUCAGAAAUAGGCUGCUAAUACCGCAUAAGCGCACAGAGCUGCAUGGCUCAGUGUGAAAAACUCCGGUGGUAUGAGAUGGACCCGCGUUGGAUUAGCUUGUUGGUGGGGUAACGGCCCACCAAGGCGACGAUCCAUAGCCGGCCUGAGAGGGUGAACGGCCACAUUGGGACUGAGACACGGCCCAGACUCCUACGGGAGGCAGCAUG